GACUUUGCAGGUGACGUUCUCCCACGGGGAGCGCGGAGAGGGCGACUAAUGGGGCAUGGCGCCAUUUUUUCCCCCUUCUCUCCCACUAAUGGUGCGCCGAGCCCAAAGCGCGGGCCUGCUCUCUGUCCACGCAGCGCGAGGCGGGCGAGAGAAUCGGCUCGCUCUAAUGAAAUGGACCAGGAACACGGAGCUAAUCAGAUCGACCUGAUGAAUGGGCGAUGCUAAUUACAGCUGCUCGCUAAAUCUUUUAUUCUGCGCGUGUGGGCUCGUGCUACCGCAUAAGGCUACCGCGCGUGCGCAUGUGUGUGUGUGUGACACGCUACAAAAACAAUGUAAAAAUAUUGCAGAGCUAAGAAUCAUCAAAGAGAGAAAUAACUGGCGUUCGCAACAUCGAUCACGGGCGGUUUCACAGUGUCGUCCUUCUGAACAGCUGCAGGUCGAGAACAAGAAAAACAUCUGGAUUGAAAAAGAACCGCGAAUUAGCGCAAAUUAAAGGACCAAACCAAAAACUGGGGCAGAGCUAUUAGCCUCGUGGAGUUCUGACUCGCUGGACCGACGCCUCCGUGUGAUGACAUUUCUAUAUAAAGGCACCGUUUAAAUGGGCCCCUCACACAGUGGCUGUUCUCAGUGCAGCAGGCGACGGAACAGAACCCGCUGACGGGGAGCAGUGUGAGCACGCGGAGCCUCGGUUGAUCCGAGGACAUGGGUAGAAACACGCCUCACGCUGCUUCUGCCUUUUAAUACUAUAAUAGUGUACGUCGUCCAACUCACAUUUAGCAGAAACUCUCUCCACUGCUUCCCCAACUGCCCGGUGGCCUUGAAAGAGCUUACAUUUUAUUUAUGUAUUAUGUAAAACCUCACACCACAAAUGUAAUAAAUCAAAUAUAAUGAGACAGCGUGUGAUUAUAUUAAAUACGAUUUCUUUCAUGAACGUGCAGAUAGACAGGGUUAGGGUUCAACCAAACCGACCCAUAGUAACCAGACCACAGUUAUUAUCAUAGUAAUAAACUGAACUGGAUGUUGAGCACAGAGCAUUAUGUUGUCUGACCGUUUUUAUUUAGCGCUCAGUUCCAAAGCUCUGGUCCUCGAAUGCUCUGAAAUUCUCCAGCGCUGACACACACGGCUAAUAGCAGCUUUUUACAGCGCCGCCUGACUCCCCCGAACAUUCUGUGGAGUUCCAAAGGCUCAUUUUCGUGCAGGAGGUUCUGCAGGAGAGCACAACAAUGGUCUGCCAUGUGUUUUUGCUUAGCGGUGCCUGGCUCAUUGUUGACACGGAGACCAGAGAAGCACACUGGGUCCAGCUGCUGUCGAACGCACGGGCCUCGCGGUGCUCGGUGCAGCUCUCACCAGCUGCAGCUGCGGCGUCGCAGAUUAGGGACCGUUUGCUGGGGUUAAGACAGAGGAUUUGACGCUUUGCUUCAGCUUCUUUCUACAGGUAAUAGACUCAGACUAGAGGAGCAUGUGUUGUUAGCUUUCCAUGAAGCUACACUAAGUACAGUAAGUAAGUUGCUUGUUUAGCUUGAUCACUUAGCCUAACCUUACUUGUAAUUUGUUUACAGUCCCUAGUGUUUCUAUGUAACACAAUCUGGCAACGUUGUGUUUUUGAGUGGACCUUCAAAAGCUCAGGUCCCUCCAUCCCACCGCCCUCCGACCUGAAGUUCCCGUCUACUUCAAUCCAGCUGGCACUGGAUCUGGUGCCGAUAGACCUGUGACCUUUGACCUUGCUGCGUUUUGUAGGGCCCAAAGCAACCUGAGAUGUAGGGGUUAAAGUUCCGAGCUGGCACUGGGGCGGCGUGAAAGCUGGUCCAACCGUGACGGCAUGUUCAUUAAUCACGGUGACGAGGAGCUCUAAUAAUGAAGAAAGAGGCCAAUCUGGUGUCAGCUGUAGGUUUGUGGUCCUCCACCGGGUCUGUAGUGGGCUCAAGAUAUGUCCACUAGAGGGCGCCAAUUAAACAUCUAUGGUGCAUCAUGGGCAUGGAAGCAUCAGCAACGGAGCAAAUAUUCUUUAAGGAAGUGACAAUAAUCCAGUGGAGUUACAAAAAUUUUAAACAUGUGAUAAAGACGUGUCUGAUGUCAUAUGUGUGAUUUAAUGUGAAAUGCAGUGUCAAAACAAACCCGGUUUCUCUGUCGUUGUUUGAGCAGAGCCGGUUCUGUUCUGUGAGCUUUAGUCAAGGCUGCACCAGACUCAUCAGACGUGAGAGCAGAAGUGAGACAGUCAUCAGGUGCUGACCAGGCCAACACCUGCACCACAGCAACUGUGAAGCGCAGAAGGCAGAGAGAGGUCUUAAUCUUUUUGCCACGGCAGACGCGUAGGCGGCUCCAGCGUCCGAUCUGGAGCAGCAUCACAGAGGCAGAGGACGCCCCCCCCCCCUCCAACCACAGCAAAGAGGCCCUCGAUGAGCGCAGGUGUACCGUGACGGGCAGCAAAUGUCAGAUGGAGGGAGGGUCACAGACGCUGGAGCUCUGCAGAGACGGACAUCACCGGUGCAGACGCUCGGGCCCCGACACGCGCCCCAUGUUCACGGGUGACUUGCACAUAAACAACACAAAGCCUGUGCGAUGCCCGUGGCCUCGCGCACUGUAUUGUUCCACGGCUUCUGGACAGAAUCGCGACUUCUGGGCCGUAAACAAGUGGAGCAGACAGGCCGGCACGUGUGGAUCGAUGCCAAAGGAAACCUCACAGUGGAUAAACCAUCAAAACCUGAUCCCCUUCGUCACUCCCCAGUGGGAAUGGGGCAGAUCAGAAGAACAAGGCCCUGCUGGACCCAGUGCUUUACACACUCAUAUCACAUCCUCUACGCUGAGGAGGACGGGCAGUUUUCUGUACUUUCAUCUCUAUAGGAUUUAUCUGCACGCACUUGAGAAGCAUCCUGGGCAAAGUCCACUCGAAAUCAAAUCCGCCCGUGUUGCGGUUUGACAAAAAGAUUAACAGAUCCAGCAGGGGGCGCUUUACAUACAGUGGGUCUGCUCAGUAAUCAUAUAUUUAUUGCAUAAAAUUGGAUGCUUCCAUGAAAUGAAAGAAGGAAAAGCAGCAACAGCGUUGACGUUAUUAGUUAUGUAACAUAUGAUUUUAUUUUUUUUUUCUCUUAAAGGCAAAGCAUUCAAAUACAGUGAGGACAGGUGCCACCAGCACAUCCACAUAUGGUCACCACACUGCACGGGCACAAACCAAACAAACACAACAAAGUCACACAGUCAUUUAGGAGCGACUUGUGAAAACACAAUGCAUUGGAUUUGUUUUAUUUUUUAUGAGUGGAAAUUAAACAUUAUGUUAAAAGGA